AUACGUAGGGUGCAAGCAUUGUCCGGAUUUAUUGGGCGUAAAGAGCUCGUAGGCGGCUUGUCACGUCGGAUGUGAAAACUCGGGGCUCAACCCCGAGCCUGCAUUCGAUACGGGCUAGCUAGAGUGUUGCAGGGGAGACUGGAAUUCCUGGUGUAGCGGUGAAAUGCGCAGAUAUCAGGAGGAACACCGGUGGCGAAGGCGGGUCUCUGGGCAACUACUGACGCUGAGGAGCGAAAGCGUGGGGAGCGAACAGGAUUAGAUACCCUGGUAGUCCACGCCGUAAACGUUGGGCGCUAGGUGUGGGGAACCUUCCACGUUCUCCGUGCCGUAGCUAACGCAUUAAGCGCCCCGCCUGGGGAGUACGGCCGCAAGGCUAAA
rnacentral:rRNA from 1 species